rnacentral:lncRNA from 1 species
UGGUUGCCAUUGAUUAAACCAUGCGAACCACUGUGGUUUGUGAAGGAGGUACAUUUGGCUUAUCUUAUAGUUUCUUAUAGUAUCCGUUCGAAAGAGAACUUUUCUUUAUGUGGACAAAAAUAAUAAAGUUCAUGGACAUAGGGUUGAUCCACACACGUGGACGAUGGGAUGAGGAUGUAGGGGAUUUUAGUGACCUUUCUUUUAUUGGGAUAGUGCUACGAACAAGAAGUCCUUGUUGCUUGUCUGUCCAUUUUAACCAUAUUACUUUCUGGACAAUGGUGGUAAUAAAUUAGGGUUGUCGUUUAAAAAGGAAACGAUGGGAAGUAUGCGGUGUGGUUAUAACUUAAAUGACCAUCAUCACUCUUUAAGGUAGUGUCAUAUCAUCUCGUCUUCAUUCAAAAUCCUAAUUCACCACCCUAUACGGUGAGUACCAUAACUCGCACCAUUAUCCAUUAUUCUCCCCUCAUUAAUCAAACCUCCUAAUUAAUUGAAAGAGGGUCAUGGUUGCCAUUGAUUAAACCAUGCGAACCACUGUGGUUUGUGAAGG